AUGCUUGUCGCGUGGCGCGGUUGGGUGGGUCUCGUUCCGUUGCGCGCGCGGGCAAGCGACGGGGCCCCUGCCGCGUCCCGUGCACGGCGACGACGUCGGCGCCGUAUGGGCGGGCGCGGGUGCGGCACAUGCGACGGAUGCGUGGUGGCGCUCCUACGGACUAUAGUAGCGUGUGGCCGCGAAAGACGUGCGGCGCCAUCGAGUGCGCCGCGCAGCAGCCCGGCUGCCCAUGCUCCCCAUUGGAGUUUGCGUGUGAUUUCCCUCCCCUCGCCUUGGGCCCAGAGAUUCACCAUUUCGUGCUGGGGAGAAGGGACCGCGACCACGCUGCACACUGCUGCUUCUCAGGUCUCAGCAACCAGCUCUGUUUCGAUGUGUGUAUAUAUUGGUAGGGUUUUCGCUUCUGCCCCGCACGCACCCGGCGCCGGCCAUGGAGAGGACGCACAAACGCAUGCAAGGGUACCUCUCAACCUGCAUUUUAUGCGCACAGCGUUUCAAAAUUUUCACCGAUCCUCGUUAGCAUUUAUAGCUGGCCCAGCUCGCGGCACAGUGCUGCCACAGCGCCUUCAAGUACGCUCUGCUACUACCACUGCAUAUCGUCGCGAUUCAUUGCGCGGUCCUGGGAAUUCUGCAGCCUCAUCUCACCAGAUCCUAUGCCUGCACUGCGCACCCACGAUGCAAAGAGGCCAGAGCCUCUGCCCUGCACUCGCAGCGACCAAAUUAUGGCAGUGUGGGUCGUCGCCCAUGUUGGUCCAACACUUGCAACUAAAUAUACAGCAACUGAACAUAUAUCUAAAAAAACACAAUUCUCUCCAAAUAAAAACUCUAAAAAAAGAACACAUGUUUCUAUCAUCGUUUCCAUGUGAGCUCAAGCAUUCACAACAUUUUAUCUUCAUUAUUUUCGGCAACAUUGUUCGCAACUGA
rnacentral:rRNA from 1 species